rnacentral:rRNA from 1 species
GACGAACGCUGGCGGCGUACUUAACACAUGCAAGUCGAACGGAAAGGCCCUGCUUUUGUGGGGUGCUCGAGUGGCGAACGGGUGAGUAACACGUGAGUAACCUGCCCUUGACUUUGGGAUAACUUCAGGAAACUGGGGCUAAUACCGGAUAGGAGCUCCUGCUGCAUGGUGGGGGUUGGAAAGUUUCGGCGGUUGGGGAUGGACUCGCGGCUUAUCAGCUUGUUGGUGGGGUAGUGGCUUACCAAGGCUUUGACGGGUAGCCGGCCUGAGAGGGUGACCGGCCACAUAGGGACUGAGAUACGGCCCAGACUCCUACGGGAGGCAGCAGUGGGGAAUAUUGCACAAUGGGCGGAAGCCUGAUGCAGCAACGCCGCGUGCGGGAUGACGGCCUUCGGGUUGUAAACCGCUUUCGCCUGUGACGAAGCGUGAGUGACGGUAAUGGGUAAAGAAGCACCGGCUAACUACGUG